rnacentral:rRNA from 1 species
UACGAAGGGGGCUAGCGUUGUUCGGAUUUACUGGGCGUAAAGGGCGCGUAGGCGGCGCAACAAGUCACUUGUGAAAUCUCCGGGCUUAACCCGGAGCGGUCAAGUGAUACUGUCGUGCUAGAGUGCGGAAGGGGCUACUGGAAUUCUCGGUGUAGCGGUGAAAUGCGUAGAUAUCGAGAGGAACACCUGCGGCGAAGGCGGGUAGCUGGGCCGACACUGACGCUGAGGCGCGAAAGCGUGGGGGAGCGAACAGG